AAAAAUAAAAAAAAAAAAAAAAAAAAAACGCGCGAACUCUUUGGCUUUCACCUUCAUCUACACAAACCAACUUCCUGAAUCACUUCACCUUCGAGAACCAACUUCCUGAAUUACCUUCACCUUCGUAUGCCCUAAUUUUUGCUUUCACUCCCUCCCUCACGCACGAACUCUUUAGCGCCAGCGACGACUAAUCUACGUUUUUCGAUUUCCGCACCGGCAACGAGUUUCUUUGUCUUCCCUUUCCAUCUGCCGAGAAGUGUUGCUAUCGAGAGGUGUCGAUUUCUUGUUUCUCCCAAACAGAUUUGUUCCUUUCUAUGGCAUUGGUGAGUGUCAUCCAAUUUGGGGUUGGAAAGCACUUCUACAUAGCAGCUAUCAGAGCUCUGAGAAGUGGUUCAACAAACAUGGAUGUCCUGGUUGCUUUAGGAACUACAACAUCAUAUGUUUAUUUUGUUUGUGUUAUUAUAUAUGGUGCUUUUACUGGAUUUUGGUCUACAAAAUACUUUGAAAGAAGUGCUAUGCUUAUAACAUUUAUUUUGUUAGGCAAGUAUUUGGAAUGUCUAGCCAAGGGAAAGACUUUCGAUGCCAUUAAGAAGUUAGUAAAACUCACUCAUGCAACAACUUUACUGGUUGUUAAAGACAAAGAUGGUAGAUCUAUUGAAGAAAGAAAAUGAUUCCUUGCUUAUUCAACCAAGUGACACAUUAAAAGUUCUUCUUAGUACUAAGAUUCCUGUUGAUGCCAUUGUUACCUGGGGCUCAAGUUAUGUAAAUGAGAGUAUGGUGACUAAUGAGUCUAUACCUGUUUUGAAGGAGAUCAAUGCCUUUGUCAUUGGAGGUACAUUCAAUUGGCAUGAUGUCCUUCACAUCCAAGCUACCAAAGUAGGACCCAAUACAGUUUUGAGUCAGAUAAUUAAUUUGGUGGCGACAACACAGAUGUCCAAGGCUCUCAUCCAAAAGUUUGCUGAUUAUGUGGAGGCUGAAACUGAGGAUUUGUGACAGGAACAAAUCCUGAUGAUGGUGGUGAUGGAGGUGGAUAAGAAUUGACAGAUUUACCAAAGGCUUCAAGUGUUAUUUGUGGCUUGCACCAAGAUGGCUGCAAUGGCAUCUUAUCUCAGGUAUAAAUUUCAUUUUACUAAAGGCUAAAUUUCACUUUUGGUCCCUUAAGUUUCAUUUGGUUCUUUAUGAUAUAAACGUUAGACUCGUUGAUCCCUUACGUUAUCCACCUGUGAAUUCUUUCAACAAUGAGCAUGCAUUGAUCCCUCAAGUAGGAUGUUCAAUUCGAUUUUGUCUAUAAUUAUAUUAGUGUUAUGUAUCUUUGUUGUGACAAUGCUACGAUGCAAUUGAUAUUUAGUUGAUUUAUUAAUUGCUAUAACAAAGGAAAUAUGAAAUUUAGUUAAAUUUUGAAUAUGACUUGUUAGAUUGGUUUAAAUUUAACUGAUGUAAUAAAUCAAUUUUUGAAUGACUUGUUAGAUUGGUUCAAAUUUAACCGAUGUAAUAAAUCAAUUUUGAAUUGACUUGUUAGAUUGGUUCAAAUUUAACCAAUGUAAUAAAUUAAUUUUAUUUUUACUUGUUACAUCUGUUAUUUUAGCCGAUCUUAUAAUUAACUAUUUAUUACAACGCUUGAUGUUAGAUCGGACUAGUAACCGAUCUAACAUGUACAUAGGAACCAAUCUAAAAAGGAUUAAUUGCACUAGUGAUAUUGCUUCUGAAAUUAACACUAAUAUUACCAGUACUAUCCAAGGAACAAACAUAAUCCAUUCCAGUCAAAUAAACGAUCCGAAUCACAAAAGAAAAAAGAUCAUGAAUCAGGCAAGAUCAAACAAGACUGAUCUAUCUCCAGAUUGACUACCAAGAACGUUGAACGGUCUUGAGAUAUGUAAGACAUCAGAACACCCUCAAGAACGAUCAGGAAAACAUCUAGAAUGAUCAAGACUAAAUCUCCAGAUCAAUUAUCAAUCUCCAAAAUGAUCAAACAUUCUCUAGAAUGUUCAGCAAUCGCAACAGAUUACUAUCAUUCUUCAGCCUGUUUUGCAAGAAUCAAAAUUGCAUAUUAAACUGAUGGCAUCAACAAUAUAUUUAACUUGAUAAUCAAUCAAACUUAAUGUAAAUAGAGCUAAAAGAAGAGAUACCACACAAUGAUAUAUUCUGGUUCACUCAACUCGGGCUACGUCCAGUCCUCACAACUGUGAGAUUUUCACUAAGUGUUCAAAACCAAGAACAAUCUUGGUUUACACCACUUCUCCAGAUCAACCUUGAUCUGUUACACAACAAGUCUUUUCCACCCAGAAAGGCUUUCGAAACAAUCUUCUAUUAGUCUCUAGAUAGGACUUUACACUUUACCUUUUAACCUUAAAAGGAUUUCUUACAAUCUACUCAAACUAUACUAAACUCUUGUAGUUUGAGUUUUACACAAUGAUGAUAUGAUUGUUUUGAUAGAAUCUGAUAUGUUUGAACUCUUGUUUGAGAUUAGAUUCUUUAUAAAAGAUUCAGUGCAAAUAUAAAAAAAAAAAUAUAUUGAAAUAUAAUCAAAAUUGAUUCUUCUUGAGAAAGUGAGAAUUUCAAGUAUGUGAAUGAUUUAAUGAGACUUGUUAGCAUUGAACUUCUACAUUUUUCUUGAGCUUUGGUCUUCCUUUUUAUAGGCUUUUAGGGCAUUUAAUGAUGGUCAAAAAGAGUUAUUGGUAGUGCUCUUGUCAGUCUUAACCAAAUACCAAAUUAUAUGAUAAAAAUGUUCCAGCUUUUGAAUAUUUUGAGUUCUGUUGACUGGACUGAUUUUCUUCGUUCUUGACAGUCUUCUCUUGAGUUUUAAUGAUCAUAUAUUCUUCAGAUGCCAUUAGUUUAAUAUGCAGUUUUGAUUCUUGCAAAAUAGGCUCGAGAAUGAUGGUAAUCUGUUGCAGAACGAUUGUUGAACAUUCUGGAGAAUGUUUGAUCAUUAUGGAGAUUCAACGAUCAUUCUGGAGAUUGAUAAUUGAUCUGGAGAUUUAAUCUUGAUCAUUCUGGACGUUUGCCUUAUCGUUCUUGAGGGUGCUCUAAUGUCUUACAUAUCUCAAGAUCGUUCAACGUUCUUGGCAGUCAAUCUGGAGAAAGAUCAGUCUUGUUUAAUCUUGCUUGAUUCAUGAUCUUUUUUCUUUUGUGAUUCGGAUCGUUUAUUUGACUGGAAUGGAUUAUGUUUGUUCCUUGGAUAGUACUGAUAAUAUUAGUGUUAAUUUCAGAAGCAAUAUCUUCUUUUAAUCAGUGGAGAUUGAUUGUUCUUGAAGCUGACUUGAUAAUUCUUAGACCUGGAGAACAUUCUCCGUUUUUCA